rnacentral:rRNA from 1 species
GACGAACGUUGGCGGCGUGCUUAAUACAUGCAAGUCAACUGAAGCAGUGGUAGCAAUAUCGCUGUGGAGGUGGCGCACGGGAGAGUAACACGUAGGUAAUCUGCCUUCAGGUCUGGCAUAACUCCGGGAAACCGGGGCUAAUAGCAGAUGAUGCAGCGGCUCGACAUCGAGACAGUUGUUAAAGCUAUGGCGCCUGAAGAUGAGCCUGCGUCUGAUUAGCUAGUUGGCAGGGUAACGGCCCACCAAGGCAACGAUCAGUAGCUGGUCUGAGAGGAUGAUCAGCCACACUGGAACUGAGACACGGUCCAGACUCCUACGUGAGGCAGCAGUAAGGAAUAUUGCUCAAUGGGAGAAAUCCUGAAGCAGCAACGCCGCGUGAGGGACGAAGGGCUUUUGCUUGUAAACCUCUGUAGUGAGAGAAAAAAAUCCCAAUCUUUGGGACAUGAUGGUAUCUCAAAAGUAAGCCCCGGCUAACUACGUG